rnacentral:lncRNA from 1 species
UCGGAUCAUUAUGUUCAAUGGGUUUAAGAAUCAACCUGCAUAAUGAUUUUGAUAUGAAAAGCUUUUUGAAAAUCAAACAAGACAAUCGUUAUGCAGAUGAAAAGAUUGUUUUUAUUCUUGUUUUUUAGGGUUUUUUUGUGAUCACCAAUUUCAUGCAAAAAGCAAAAAGGGAAAACAAAUGGAAAACAAAUGUUUAAACAUGCUUUAUUUGAAUGAAA